ACGAAGGGUGCUAGCGUUGUUCGGAAUGACUGGGCGUAAAGGGUGCGUAGGCGGUAAGAUGCGUCUGAUGUGAAAUCCCUGGGCUUAACCUAGGAACUGCAUUGGAUACGGUCUUACUAGAGUCCGCGAGAGGAAGAUGGAAUUGUGCGUGUAGAGGUGAAAUUCGUAGAUAUGCACAAGAACACCGGUGGCGAAGGCGAUCUUCUGGAGCGGUACUGACGCUAAGGCACGAAAGCGUGGGGAGCAAACAGGAUUAGAUACCCUGGUAGUCCACGCUGUAAACGAUGAUUAUUAGAUGUCGGGAGGGUUACCUUUCGGUAUCGCAGCUAACGCAUUAAAUAAUCCGCCUGAGGAGUACGGUCGCAAGAUUA
rnacentral:rRNA from 1 species